UUUAGCGGUGUGUCAGAAGAAUGGCCUGCAAGACGGCGAUAGUGGAAAUUUCAGCUCAACUAACGUAUGACAGAUUAUAAAGCUAUUGGUGGCCACAUGGUUUUUACCUGUUGAUUCCUUUCAGCUCUUGAGGUUAACCUGUCACCUCUACCCACAUGCAUAUUCCUUAAUGUGUUCUACAGACUAUUUACCAGUAAUUCAAAUUAAAUCGGAUAAUUCAUGAACAGUUACUGUAAUAGAACUUUAAGAAAGCAUUAUGCCUUGUUGUGGUUUGUGUUUGAUAAGAAAUUAUAACAAACAAAUGUUAGCCGUGAAAAUUUGUUUUUCAAUAAAAGUAUGAAAUUA